rnacentral:rRNA from 1 species
AGAAUCAACGCUGGCGGCGUGCCUAACACAUGCAAGUCGAACGAGAAAGUGGAGCAAUCCAUGAGUAAAGUGGCGACCGGGUGAGUAACACGUGACUAACCUACCUUCGAGUGGGGAAUAACCUCGGGAAACCGGGGCUAAUACCGCAUAAUGUCUUCGGACCAAAGGAGCAAUUCGCUGGAAGAGGGGGUCGCGGCCGAUUAGCUAGUUGGCGGGGUAACGGCCCACCAAGGCAAUGAUCGGUAGCCGGCCUGAGAGGGCGCACGGCCACACUGGAACUGAAACACGGUCCAGACUCCUACGGGAGGCAGCAGUGGGGAAUUUUGCGCAAUGGGGGAAACCCUGACGCAGCAACGCCGCGUGGAGGAUGAAGCCCCUUGGGGUGUAAACUCCUUUCGAUCGGGACGAUUAUGACGGUACCGGAUGAAGAAGCACCGGCUAACUCUGCGCCAGCAGCCGC